rnacentral:lncRNA from 10 species
UAAUUCCAAUUUUACAAGAUGGAAAAAGUUCUGAAGAUGGGUGGUGGUGAUAUUUAUACAACAUUAUGAAUGAAGGUAUUAAAACCACUGGAACUAUACACCCUGAAAAAUCUUUAAGAGGUUAAAUUUUAAGUUAUGUGUAUUUUAUCAAAAUAAAAAAUUGGAAACAAUAUUGUAAAGUUUUAAUAAUCUAAAGAAAAUUCUUCCUUUAGGGUGUUAUUCCCAAAAACGUGGUGUUGGUGUUCUAAAUAUCUAGGAUAUUAUUUUUAUAAUUUUAAAACAUGCAAUCAUACUGCUGGGACAUGACUCUUUAAACAGCAGAUCUUUGAGUGAAUGUGAAUGUGAUAAACUCUGCUUUCUAGAGAAUCCUUUUUAACCACUUAAUGCCUCUUUUAGCUACUAGGUCUAAGAAUCUAUAGAGAGGGGAUAUGGCAGAGUGUAGAAAUGACCCUAAUUAUUCAUCCCUCCUGUAUCUAUGUCCUUCACCAUACACAUCUGUAUUGCUGUCCAAUGCUGUUUCUGAGCCUAAUCAUGGACCUGUUUUGGCCAACAAGGUAAAGUGUAAGUAUCAGUUCCACAUAUAGAACUUCAGAGACUGUGUGUGUUUCCUUUUGCUGUCUUGUGUAUCUGCCAUUGCCAUGACAACACGCUCAAGCUAGCCGGCUGGAGGAAGAGAAACUGAGCAGCAGAGCUGAGCCAUCUCUGUUGCUCCAGUCAAAGCCAGUCUAGAUCAGCCAACUGCCAGCCGACUCUCACACAUAUGAGUAAGCCCAGCCAAAAUUAGCAGAGCCACUUAGCUGACCUCCAGCUGACCCUAGAUGUUUACUGUUGCAUGUCCCUGAGGUUUUUUUACUGCGAGGGAGCAUUAUUGUGGAAGUAGAUGACUGAUUUAGGGAAUUGCCUCAUAUGCUUUUUUUUUUUUUUUAAUCACUCCUUUUCCCCUUGUUUCAAUCAACUUGUCACAAAUACAUCUGAACAUUGUUAGGUGUCUACCCAAUAUCCACUCUCCUGCUUUUUCUUACUGCCAGAACCACAUGCCCAGCUAAAAACCUACAUUCUCUGGCUUCCUUUGUAGAAAGGAGUUGUCAUGUGACAUUCCUUUGGCCAAUGAGAAGCAAGUGAAAUAUUGAGUAGUUCCUUGAAGGAGGAUGGGGAGUCCUUUUGCCCUUCUCCUUCUUCCUUUCUGGAAUAAAAAUCUGAUGCUGGAAAAUAUUAUGGCCCCAAGGAGCCAGCACAAGCUGAGAAUGAUUGAGAGGAAAGCAGAAAGAGCUUGGGUCUCUGAUGGUAUGACUACAGUACCAGCCAUGGGCUGCCUCCUUUUUCACUUCUAGCUACAUGUGAAAAAAAUAAGACUUCUCAACUAAUUAUGCCACUGUUUUUUUUUUUUUUUUUUUUAAUUCUUUUACUUGCAGUUCAUUGUAAUUCAUUUUCUUCUUUUUUUUAUUUGUGACAGAGUCUCACUGUGAUGCCCAGGCUGGAUUGCAAUGGUGCGGUCUCAGCUCACUGCAACCUCCGCCUCCUGGGUUCAAGGGAUUCUCCUGUCUCAGCCUCCCGGGUAGCUGGGAUUACAGGCAUUUGCCACCACACCCAGUUAAUUUUGUUUUUUUAGUAGAGAUUAAGUUUCUCCAUGUUGGUGAGGCUGGUCUUGAACUCCCGACCUCAGGUGAUCCACCUGCCUUGGCCUCCCAAAGUGCUGGGAUUACAGGUGUGAGCCACCAUGCCUGGCCCAUUGUAAUUCUUAAUACUACACUCUAGAGCCUAUUUUAUCCUUAUUUGAAGAAACUGCUUAGAACAAAUAAAGAUAUUUCACAUAAAAUAUCAUUGUGAAUUACUAUGCAAGUACAUUAAUCCAUACAUAAAAGAACAAUGACUUCCAUGCAUUUAUGUCGGUUUAUAUUUUUGAAAGUUUACAGUAUUCCGGAGUGAGUGAAAUCCACACUUAUCAAGCAGUAGGGCCAAUGGGAUUAUUCUACAUCAAGAGGAAGGGCUUUUUUUUCUAAUUUGCACACAGGUCCUCUAUGGUACAGCGGGAACCCUGGUCCUUGAUGCCCAGAGCAGAGUACAAGAGGCUUAUUUGACGGUGAAUAACCUCUCAGAUGACUGCUUCUUUUUUGAAGCUCAGUUUAAUCAGGUUUUAGUAGCAAUAAAGUGUUUCUCAGGUGGGAGCUGGUGAGUGUGACAGACACUUAAAUUUUUUCUCGCAAGUUGCCACAGAAUAUUCACAGAAGUGAAUCAGCAGUUUCAAAGUUAAGAGAAGAGAAAAAUAAUAAACAGCUACCAUUUAUUAAGCAAUUAUGUGUCAGAUUUAUACUUAUUAUCUCAUAUAAUCCUUACAGCAAAACUGUAAGGUAGGUUCCAUAAUACCCCCAUUUGAAAUAUAAGGAAAUGGGUUCCAAACUGCUCAAAGUCAUAUAGGUGGCAAGUAACAAAGUUUGGAUUUGAGCCCAGGCUUGUUUGAUUUUAAGCUCUUUGUUCUUUGUCAUGCAUUUUCCUAAACUGUAAAUUAUUUGUCAUUAGUGCAGGUGUAGCAAAGACACUGGUAUUCACCAGUUGUUCCAUUGACUCCCCUACAUUUUUCACUCUUGCUUGUAAUUAUGUUGGGGCUAUAUGAUUGGGUGCUUCCAAUAGAAUAUAGGUGGGAAUGAUGUCCAACCACUCCCAGGCAUGACAUUUAAUAAAAUUCUUGGCAAACCAUCACUCCUCUCUUCCUCUGCUACAAUGACUCUGGAAACCAGAUGUUCAGAUGUUGGCAUCUCCAGAUGGGUGGAGUCUGGAUCCCUGAAUCACUGCAUGGAGGAGAAUUGCCCUGAGGAGCCACUCAAUUUACAC